rnacentral:lncRNA from 1 species
GUGAAAGCCAUACAUUAACCAAAUGAUGUUCAUGCCAAUAUAUCUAUAGGCAUAAUGAGUCCUAAUAUACAUGCUUGCAUGGUCAUAACGUAAUUUACUCAUUUCUUGAUGACAUUAGCUUCCUCAUUCUAAUUUUCUUUGAAUUUAACACUAAGCCAACUUUAGUACAUACAAGGCAUCUUAACAUAUAACUCUCAUGCAUUUACAACAUAUAAUAAAG